rnacentral:misc_RNA from 1 species
UUAAGUUCAGCGGGUAUCCCUACCUGAUCCGAGGUCAACCGGUAAAAAAAUUGGGGUUUGACCAGCGCCGCCGGGCCUGAUGAGCGGUAUAAGGAUUCCCAUACGCUCGGGCACCAAAACGGACGCCGCCACUGCCUUUCGGGCACGUCCACGGGGGACGAGACCCAACACACAAGCCGCGCUUGAAGGUUGCAAUGACG